AAAUUGAAGAGUUUGAUCAUGGCUCAGAUUGAACGCUGGCGGCAGGCCUAACACAUGCAAGUCGAGCGGUAGCACAGAGAGCUUGCUCUCGGGUGACGAGCGGCGGACGGGUGAGUAAUGUCUGGGAAACUGCCUGAUGGAGGGGGAUAACUACUGGAAACGGUAGCUAAUACCGCAUAACGUCGCAAGACCAAAGUGGGGGACCUUCGGGCCUCAUGCCAUCAGAUGUGCCCAGAUGGGAUUAGCUAGUAGGUGGGGUAAUGGCUCACCUAGGCGACGAUCCCUAGCUGGUCUGAGAGGAUGACCAGCCACACUGGAACUGAGACACGGUCCAGACUCCUACGGGAGGCAGCAGUGGGGAAUAUUGCACAAUGGGCGCAAGCCUGAUGCAGCCAUGCCGCGUGUAUGAAGAAGGCCUUCGGGUUGUAAAGUACUUUCAGCGAGGAGGAAGGCGUUAAGGUUAAUAACCUUGGCGAUUGACGUUACUCGCAGAAGAAGCACCGGCUAACUCCGUGCCAGCAGCCGCGGUAAUACGGAGGGUGCAAGCGUUAAUCGGAAUUACUGGGCGUAAAGCGCACGCAGGCGGUCUGUCAAGUCGGAUGUGAAAUCCCCGGGCUCAACCUGGGAACUGCAUUCGAAACUGGCAGGCUAGAGUCUUGUAGAGGGGGGUAGAAUUCCAGGUGUAGCGGUGAAAUGCGUAGAGAUCUGGAGGAAUACCGGUGGCGAAGGCGGCCCCCUGGACAAAGACUGACGCUCAGGUGCGAAAGCGUGGGGAGCAAACAGGAUUAGAUACCCUGGUAGUCCACGCCGUAAACGAUGUCGACUUGGAGGUUGUGCCCUUGAGGCGUGGCUUCCGGAGCUAACGCGUUAAGUCGACCGCCUGGGGAGUACGGCCGCAAGGUUAAAACUCAAAUGAAUUGACGGGGGCCCGCACAAGCGGUGGAGCAUGUGGUUUAAUUCGAUGCAACGCGAAGAACCUUACCUACUCUUGACAUCCAGAGAACUUAGCAGAGAUGCUUUGGUGCCUUCGGGAACUCUGAGACAGGUGCUGCAUGGCUGUCGUCAGCUCGUGUUGUGAAAUGUUGGGUUAAGUCCCGCAACGAGCGCAACCCUUAUCCUUUGUUGCCAGCGGUUAGGCCGGGAACUCAAAGGAGACUGCCAGUGAUAAACUGGAGGAAGGUGGGGAUGACGUCAAGUCAUCAUGGCCCUUACGAGUAGGGCUACACACGUGCUACAAUGGCAUAUACAAAGAGAAGCGACCUCGCGAGAGCAAGCGGACCUCAUAAAGUAUGUCGUAGUCCGGAUUGGAGUCUGCAACUCGACUCCAUGAAGUCGGAAUCGCUAGUAAUCGUAGAUCAGAAUGCUACGGUGAAUACGUUCCCGGGCCUUGUACACACCGCCCGUCACACCAUGGGAGUGGGUUGCAAAAGAAGUAGGUAGCUUAACCUUCGGGAGGGCGCUUACCACUUUGUGAUUCAUGACUGGGGUGAAGUCGUAACAAGGUAACCGUAGGGGAACCUGCGGUUGGAUCACCUCCUUACCUUAAAGAA
rnacentral:rRNA from 1 species